AAUAGUAGACAUGUUGCUAGCUCCUGUU
rnacentral:sRNA from 1 species